UUCGUAUCAUUUCGAGCUAUUUUUAGCUCUAUGAGGGGUCAGUUGGAGAUGGCGUUCCGAUCCACAAACCAAGCUCCACCUCAUCAAUACUUAAAAUAAUUUGAUGCAUUACUUUUGUUUCCUUUCUCAAUUUGAAGGCCCAAACAAGAAACAAAGCAACACUAGACAAAGACAACUGUUGUAUAAUGGGUGUUUUAGAAACUCAAAAGCUUAAAUUUUUUGUCGUGCUCUUUAACUUUCUCUUUUACUGCUAUACAUGAGAAAACAAGAGAGAUUUAAUAUGAGUAAAGGGAUACUUUACUUCUUGAGAUACAAGUUUAUUGGGUUUCUUCUAAGGAUCUUGGGUUUCUUUAUCUGUAAAGAAGUUGGGUUUUUGGUUGUUUAAUUAAUUUCAACCAAAAUUGCAAGAUAAAAAGGAAUACAAAGGAGAAGACACACACACACACAUAUAUAUAUAUGUUUUUUUUUAAGAUGAUAACAUAUUCGUGGAUAGAACUGAGAAGAUAUAUAAACCGACAAACAAGUUUGUUUAUCUUAGGAAAGUAACAAUAUUUCCAUAGUCACUUUCAGAUUAUUACAACUUUGACGUCGAAAAUAAGAAAAUUUAGGGAAUGUUGUUUUCUUAUUAGUUAGGGUUUCUAUAAUACGUGUCGGAUUCUUUUACCUAAGUUUUUAUCUGUCAGAUUAGUCACGAAGGCUUACUGCCACAUCAAAUGAAAGGUAAUGAAAGCAGAAAACUGAAAACAAAAUAUCGAAGUUGACUGCUGGUAGGAUGAAUUUGCAGUUAAAUUUCAUUGAAAACAUUAAACUUGACAAGGAUUACCAGAACCAUAUAAUUACCACAUAACAAGAACACAAAGGAAAUGAAAAACUUGAAACAAAAGUUGACAAACAAACAACCAACGACAUAAGAAAACAGACUGCAUACUUUUCUUUUGACCAUUUUUUAGUACCCUCAAAACUAAUUCGCAAGUUAGUUAAUCACCAUAAGUGAUAAUGCUGUCCAUAAUCUUGGCCACCACGUCCUUCGAAUCCCUCAGUUUUUUUAUGCUUCUGUUAAGCUUCUCACGCUUUACUGCUACUGCCGGUGACUCCUCCAACAUCCUCUCAAUUCCCCCACCGUAAGGUCCCAUCAACUCCUUCACAAUCUCAGCUUCCAUCUCUUUGUUCACAAGGUUGAAAACAGACAGCUGCAAGUGCAAUGCCAUGGAGUCCACAAGCCUCCUCAAAACAACCUUCCAAUAGGCAAUCAUUCUCAUUUUAAGGUCAUAAGCUUGAGCUAACACAUGCGGGUACUUCCUCAGAACACCGACUUCCACUUCCCCGAUGCCUACUAUAUCUAUGAUAGAAGGUUUCUUCUCAUCAGUUAAGACUCCAUGAAUGAAUUCGUUUUGACUAGCCAUCAACUUGUUCCAUUCGGAAACAUAAUCACCAUCACAUGUAUAAUCUGUCAGCUUUUCCAUCUCUACAAGCUCCAGCAUCCACUUGAUUGAUCUCUCCUUCAUCUUGGCCAUUAGACUAUGGCCGGCACGCCUUGCUGAUAACUGCAGCUGAUGAUAGUUAUCCGUAUAAUGCAUCAACACAGAAAUAACCACCUCUUCAAUGUAGUUCCACACUUUUUCCUCAAAUGCAAUCGGAAUACUCGAAAUUUCAUUCACUUUUGCCUGCAAGAUAAUGAGGAAAGCAUUGCGUGGAAGGAAGUUCGGAAGUGAAAUACCUUUGGCCUCCUCCAAGAUCUUGAUCUCCUCCAUCAAGAAGUUGCUCUUUGCAUCAGUUUCAGCACAUCUGUGAAGUUCAUCCGAGUACUGGUUGAGCAUCUCAACCAAUCUAGCAGUGCAGUGCAUGCGAUUAUCUUCGGCGUACUCCUCAAAUUCUCCUCUCAAAAGAAUCUUCCUAAGCGAUUCCUUAGCCAAGCCAAUGAUUUGCAUAAAGGCCGUCAUUGCCUCGGCAACAGACGAAAGACUCUUUGGCAUUUUGUUCAGCAUCAUAAUGCAGAAGUUCAGCCUGUCAUUGAUCUUCUUCACUAUCUCAGGUAUAUUUCUUGCUAUGCUGUUUGCUUGAAUUUGGACCAGCUUCUGUGCUAAAACUGGAAUGCCGACAAUGGACUUGUCAAUCUUCGAAAGCAGAGGAUGGGUUUGAAAUAGUUCAUGAGCCAUCACCGCUGCCUCCUCAUAAGUUUCGUCACCAAUCCUGUUCCUUACACAGACAUAACCAAGACCAAUGUUUACAUCAUCUCCAGUGACCUUCUCAAGUAGUCCUUCCGGUGCCUUGUCCACUUUCGUAACCACAGCGAGCGUCCUCUCACCAGUUUUAUCUACACUUUGUGACAUCCGGAUUGACUCACAAGUAGUAAAAUCCACCGUAGCAGACAAUACAUUCAGAAUAAUACUUUCCUCCGGCUUAAUAUACUCCAUGAUCAUAUCUUUGAUCUGAUCAUAGAUAUUUUCAGGUUGGCCAUGGACUGGAACCCUUGUGAUUCCCGGAAGAUCAACCAUAGUCAGAUCCGGAACCCCAUUCUUCUUCACCAACAAAGUAAGUGGCAUGUUUGAAAUUCCCUUACCUCCCCCCGCAAUAGAAUUAGUCGCUUUCACAAUAUCUUUGGCGAUAUUUUCUUCAUCAGUACGAUCAACUCUGCCAUUGUACUCCAAGGAAAGUUCAGGCUGAGGACUCGAGUGGUGUUCCAGCCUCAUAAUAAGAGGCACUCUCGUGCAGAUGCCUUGGCCCCGAGGUAGGCUGAUGCCGGCCAAGGAUUCGAGCACGCUAGACUUCCCGGAUGACUGGUCUCCGACCACCACAAUCGUUGGCAGCUGAAUGCCUUCAUCCAUCACCUUCAAGCUGCGUAACUUGUCUACCGCAUCCAGAAGAGGGCGGAUCUUGUCGUUAUAGGACGACACAAUGGGUGCGCAUUUGAGAGGUACUACGUCUAGUCCUGCCUGAACCAUUGCGAGUGAGCCUUCACCGUUUAAGACUGUGUAACUCGAUUCCAUUUACCUUCGUCCUUCCGUUUCUGAAUUAUAGGAUGUCGAAACAAUGGUGAAAAUCCAGAGGGAAACCGAGAUUACUUGUCAGAGAAGAUAUCAGUCAGGAAGAAGUGAGAAAGCUGGUUUUAGUAAGUGCCUUAAGGUUAAAGGCUCCUAGUUGUAUGUAUAAUUGUUCAGCAAAACCUAUCGAAGUAAAUGACAACCAGCCGUUUCAAAGGCUCCUAGUAGUAUGUAUAAUUGUUUAGCAUUUUGAAGAUGCUACAUGAAAUGUCGUUUUUAGCCCUUUCCUUUAUCUUUUUUAUUUUUUUUCCCGCGUGUUGCUCGGCUUUGCCGUUUUGCCUUUUUUAUUCUAGGUAUUUAUUUCCUUUUUCUCUCUUGACUUCCCCUCGCACACUUCCAUGCAAUCCCUGUCGCCAUUGUGGCACAAAACACAAUAAAAAAUUAUAAAUAAAUUAGAUGCAUUCGCAAAAUAAUUAUUAAAAAUUUUGAGAAGCCCACCUGUCUUCCAUUGCUUUGCCUUUUGGUUAUUUUAUUUUUUGGUUUUGCUGUUUUUUUUGUCUUCCACGCCGAGCCUGCAAUGGUUUGUGGCAAACAACACAUAGGGGGUGGGUUCAAAAAACCGAAAACCGAAAAAAAUCGAAAAUCAAACCGAAUCGAAACCGAACCGAACAAAAAAACCGAACCGAAUUGAAAAAACCGAACCGAACCGAAUUAAUUAAAUUAAUAUUUUUUUAAAUUUUAUUUAUUUAAUUAUUUGUUUUGGGUAUUGUUUUUUAAACCCAAUUUGUAAUAUUUUUAAACCCAAUUUUAUUUGUUUUGGAUAUUAUUUUUUAAACCCAAGUUGUAAGCCCAAUGUGUUACCAAAUACUUACUACCCUUUUCUCAUUUUUCUCACACUCCAAUUUUACUUCUAAUUAUUUAUGGUUUGUUUGUUUCAUCACUAAACCAGUUGCUUUCCAUUUGUCUCUUGAUCAAUCAUGUUCUUCUUUGUUUGUCUUUUUAUUGUUUGAAUUGAAAUUAUGAGUGAUUUGGAGUAAUAAUCAUAGGGUAAUCAAAUUUACUUGUACAACUUCUCUCUCUUUGCACUCCAGUCCAUUUACUUUCAUAUCUCUGCUGAGUAAAAAUUGAGGGGGAGAGAGAGAGUUAAACAUUUUAAAUUUUAUUUUUUGUUGCUUGACUUUGUAAAAGACUGAAACUUUCACUGCAUUCUCUUAGAAAACUAAACAUACUAUUGGAUUUGAUGGUUGUUUGUGAUUUGGGUUUUACUGCUUUGUUUGCCCUUUAUUAAUAAUCAUGUAAUGUUUGAGUGAUCUAUUUUGCUCAAAAGUUUUAGGACUUUCCUUGAUAUUUUUUAAGAAACCAAACAAGGAUUAACCCUAUGUAUACUUUGUUUGUUUGCUUGAUGUGAAAAAAAAAUAUCCAAAACAAAUAAUUAAAUAAAUAAUACUGAGAAAAAGAGAAUUUAAAAUAUCAUUACUUUUUAAACCCAAUUUCUCAAGAACCAAACAAAGAUUAACCCUGUGUAUACUUUGUUUUUUUUUAAAAACCCAACCAUGAUGUAAAAAAAACCGAAACCGAACCGGAAAAAACCAAACCGAAAAAAAAAUAAACCGAACCGAAAUUUCGGUUCGGUUUCGGUUUUGGCAAAAAACUGAACCCACCCCUAACAACACGUAUAAAAAAAAUUAUUUGCCCAAAAAAAAAGAUUACAUGGACAAAACAAUUAUUAAAAAUUGAGAUAUUUGUCCCCUUUUUCUCUCCUGACUUCCCCUGCUUCCCUGCAUUCUUGCCAUGUCGCCUGUUGCAGGGAGAAGGUGAGAAUUGGUUGUGCCACGUGUUGGUGAUCAUGUUGUUUACUUUUUGGGGUUUAUAUUGGUGGAGGCACAUUCUCUGCCUUCUUAAUUUCGGUGUCCUCCUGUUUUGUGUGGUCACGGUUAAAUCAUUUCAACAUUUUAUAUUAUUUUUUAAUAGAGAUAAUAAGACAAAAAAGAAUAGUAAUAUAUAAUGUUGAUCUGACUUAACCUUGACCACACAAACAGGAGGGCACGGGAGAGCACUGAAAUUGGGAGGGCAGAAAAUCUGCCUCCUAUAUUGGUUCAUUUUAGUACCGUUUGGUACGCAGACGGGACGAAAGGGAACAAGACGGGAUGAGACGGGACGAAACAGUGGUUCCAUGUUAUAUUUGGUAUGUACAGGACAGAACGGGAAAGUUGUUCCGUUGUGGGUUUGGUAAGCGCAAGACGGAACGGAACCAAAAGAAUAAAAUGAUUAACUUACCCCUGUUUCGUCUGUUGUUUGGUACAAUAUUUAGGCUUGGUAUGGGACGGAACAAUUUCAUUAUUUUUUCACCUUCUUGCUGCUGCUUAUCUAUGAUAUAUUUUGUACACUAUACUUGGAUGUGUUCAUAUUUCAUACCGUGUAUAACAGAAAACAAGAGACAUGUAUUUGUACUUUAUGUUGCUCAUAUAAUUAAUUUAGUGGGAUAAUACGUCAAUUAAUUUUAUGUGAUUUAAAAAAAUAAUAUGGUGAGAGCAUGCCAUUGGCUUGGCACUUUGGAACAUGGCAGUGUAGCCACAAUAUGUAUAUGUGAUGAAUUACAUAUGAAAAGGUUGGUGUGGUAGAACAACCGUUGAUGCAAUGGCUAUGUUGGAAUCUUUGACACAAUCUGCUUUCAUCUCUUCAUCAUCACAUUGAAAUGCAAAUUGUGUCAAACAAUAUGUAUAUUAUAAGUUGAGAUGUGAGUCAAUUGGAUGUCUAUGGCAAUGGUUGUCAUGCAAGGAUGAAAAAUAUAGAAGUUUAAUGAUAUUAUCUUGCUAAAGCAAUAAACAUGAAAUAUCCAGAGCUUAAACAUGAAAUCCCAAAUUAAACAUUCAUCUUGACUUAAAGAAAAAAGAAAAGAAAGAUAAUGUCUUACUAAACCCCAGAAGUUGAUAUAGUUCAUUCAUAUCAUACUAAACCCCCUAAUGCUCAGAUGUCAUCCAUAAAUAUUUUAAUGAAAUCUGCCUUGUGAGAGUCAUCCAGGGUACACCAAAUACUCAACAUAUCAGUAUUUUUCACUAAUUUUUAUUGAAAUUUUCAGCACUUGAUCAUAUGGGAGACCCAUGGCCUGAACUCGAUACAAAAAAUUUAGUCUCAUAUUCAUCUAUACCUUCACAUGAAAAAAAAACACAUGAAUGAAUGGAGCAUCAACAUACGUGGGAUUCAAUUACAAGCAUAUGAUUAAAUGGUAAAACAAAGUGGAGCUUCAUAUCCUAAUUGCAAUUCUUAAAGUGGAGCAUCAACUUUGUCAUGCACUGAAAAUCUGAGUGAUACCAUAUGAGGAUUCGAGUAAUGCUAUAUGACCCAAAUGCAGUUCAGUCUACAUUAUUAAAAGAUGGCAGUCCGAACAACAAGAAUGUACCAGCUUUAACAAUGACUUCUAAGUUUUGCAUAUGCUGAAGUUAAGAAUAUUCAAGCAUCAAAUAUGGCAGUCUGAACUCAAUACACUAUAAGACCUUACAUAAAUAGGUGACUACAUUAUUAAAACAUACCAGCAGUACUGCAAUAAAUAGUGAGCCAUACUAUUAACGAUCAUUUAUGACACGCCCCGAUCCCGAUGUCCUGUAGACAUCGAGAUGGUCACGUGUUGGCCGACACCCGAGGGGUGACGUAAGCCAUUCGAUUAAAGUAAAAACCCAUAAAAUGCUCACAAGCAUGAAUAAUAUAGCUCAAACCAUAGCAAUUAAACGUAAAGCAGCAGAAACAUAAUUACAUUAAAAUAAUAUUCAACUGCCAACACAAAACAAAACAAGAUACAACAAACCCUGUCCAGAGCAUACGUCUAAUAUAGAUUACAAAAGAAAGAAUAUAAAUUGAAUAACAAAAGGAGUGGAUCCUACAAUGAGAGGACUCAAAGAUGCCAAUGCAGAAGUGUCUUAACGCCGGGAUUGUAUGCCUCGAAUCUAAGCCCUAAAGGGGGCGCAAAACAAAGGUGAGUGGACCAAUUUGAUAUACAUAUAAGAAACAAUUAUCAACAUACUAUCCCGCAGGUUUUAUGAAAACUCAUAUAUAUCAUGAUAAACAUAGGUUUAUCGAAACCUAGAAUGUCGUGCAAUAUUUCAAUUCAUAACUCGCCAUGCAAUGUCUCAAUUCAUAACUCGUCGUACAAUAUCUCAAUUCAUGAUUUGCAUAUAAUAAUCACUAGUGUCAAAUGUUCACAUAUAUCCCUCCUGGCCCUAUGCCAUCUCCCCGUCCCUGAGCAUACAGUUAGAGGAAAAUAUCGCUUCAGGCCCUAUGCCAGCUCCCCGUCCAUGUGCUAAAUAGCCAGAGGAAACACACUCCAGGCCCUAUACCAACUCCUCCGUCGCUUGGGAUGGACCGGAAUCUAUCUCUCAUCCCGUAGCGGAAAUUGGGACCACUAGGUAAUAUAGAACCAUUGCACAUACAUCUCAUAAACAUUCUCAUAAACUCAUGCUUCUCAUGUAUGCAUUUCUACUAAUAAAACAUGCAUUUUUAGAAAGGGGUCACUCACAGUACUUCGCCGUCGAAAGCCGCGCUGCUAGCGAAGAAACAGUGCCACAAUAUAUGCACUUAAGCACAUAAAGGGUUCAACACAGUCAAACUCUAUUCAGAUGAUUUAAUUUAGGAAAACAGACUUAAAAAACGGAUCUAAGACGUCGAAAUUAACCUACGAGGGAAAUUAACCUACGAGGGGUCCUGAACGAAAUCCAAAAAGUCAACUCAGAACAGUCAACGAUCAACGGGUCAAAGUCAACGGGUCGGGUCAACCGAGUUUUGGAUUGGAUUUGGAUCUGGGUAUAGGGUUUGGGUUUUUGGGUCACGGGCCAGAGGCCCUAAUUGAAGGAACCCAAAAGGGUUCCCUGGGUUUGGGUUACACGGGCCAAAGGCCCUGGUCUUCUCGGCCCAAGGCUUUAAGCCUAGGGUUUGGGUUUUAGCUGCCAAGGCCCUAAGGGCUUUUGGGUUUCGAAUUGAACGGGCCGAAGGCCCCAACUAAAAUAAAAAAAUGUAACGAGCUAGGGAACUGGGUCUGCUAGCAAUGGGCCUAAUGCCCAAAAUAAAAUGGCCCAAAGGCCUUGUGAAUUAACAAGCAAAAUAAUUAAAAUAUAAAUAAAAGAAAAUGGGCUGGGUUUGCAACGGGCCUAAGGCCUGAGGGGGUUUGGGUCGGUCCGAAGGCCUGGGUGCGCCGGGGGAAAAACCAGAGGACACCGAAGCUGCUACAGCUCUGGCUGACUACAAACGGAGGUCUAGUGCUCCAAUCUAGCUACCAAAAUGGAGUACAAGAAGAGGGGAGUACUUUGGUACCUUCAAAUCGAAUUGAAUUGACCGGAUUUGCUCAGAAAAGUCCACGGCGCUCACAGGUUCGUCGGAGAAAUGGGUGUGCUCACCCCGUGUGUCGAUCUCGACCUAAACCUCAGAAAAAUCAUGAAAGUCACUUCCAAUUUCUCAAUCAAACACAAUUUAACCCUGAGUGAGAACGAUCGGAGGCUUACCUAGCCGGAAAAAAAGAAGAUUCGCCGGAGGUUUCCUGUGUUGUUUUUCCUUCGUGCGUGCGUGCGUGUUCACGGGAGGGAUGCGAGGGAUACGGGAGAGAGAUGAGAGAUUUAGUUUCGAGAAAGACUGAGGGAAUACAGAGAGAAAGAGAGAUGAUAGGGAUAGGUGAUGUGGGAAAUGGAGGACAUAAUCAGGGUGGGCCCCUUGGGCUUACCAUUUAAGGCCCAAAACAAUAUUUUAUAAAAAGAAGGAGGGUGGGGUGUAACAAUUUAGCUUAUUAUCCCCCACUCAAGACAGGGCCAGGCCAUUAUUAUUAACAGUUUGAGGUUAAAUACAAAAAUCCUACGUAUUCGUCCGAUCAAUCUGUGGGAGAAGAAAUUUCAAGAUAGGAAGAUAAUAUCUUUCCUUGCUAUAAAAAAACUUCAUUUAUUUCUAAAAGCCAGUGGUAGAAUAACUAUCAACUUGGGGCCACAUCACACAUACACGGUACAACAUUGGUCUCUCUUUAACCUUUGUUAUAAAAACGCAUCUAAGGUCAUUAAAACAAUUCAAACAUGCUCCUUCCACUAACUGAACAACCAAAGAAUGCUGUUCUUCACUAGACAUACUGAUCAACUAUAACAAAACUCACGAUGAUAAGUAAUAGGUACGGUGAAUACAAUCAAAUAAAAUAUGUUGCAAGAUGUAGAACUUUGCAGAAAUAUUAAUGUAAAGAAAGAACAAAAAAUAUUCGAGGCAAACAAGUUACUCGUCCCUAAGAAAAACCCUCAAAUUACUUGAUUCUUCCAACAUAGAAUCCAAUCCAACAUAGGAAAAUCCUAAACAUGUAACCCAAUCCAAUCCAACAGAACCCAAAGACAUCAGAUUUAUAGAUUUUAGCACAUAAAAAAUGAAACUUGAACACUAGAAAACCAGAUAGAGAGAUACCUCUGAAUGUAGUACUGCUCAAUAGGGGGAGUGGAAUGAGAUAAACAGAGGCGGAUCUUUGGUUUCAGAUGCAGUAUUGGGUAGAUCGAAGCACUACAAAAUACAAAGAAAAAAAAAAAAAAAGCAAAUCAGAAAAGAAUACAAAGAAAUCGAAGCACUAAAAAAUACAAAGAAUUUCAGCAGAAUUAGGAACUGGGUGUUAAUGAAAUCGAAGCAAGCAAAUCAGAAAAGAAUAAUAAUGCCACUUCAAGCAACAGCAAACACCAAACCAAGAGAGAAAGUACUACAAAAUACAAAGAAAGAGAGAUCGAGAGACUACACAAUCACUAUCAGAUUGAACCUGGAACGGAGAUGCAGAGCUGAAAGUUCACAGAGAAGCUACAUGGAAAAGGAUGAGGAGGAAGGUUGCGAAGGGGAGAUGCAGGAGGAUGAAUAAGUUCACAGCGACAGAGAGAAGAGAAAUGAUAGUUAGGGUUUGUCGUAUGAUAUAGAUGGUGUAAAUAUUGAAAAAGCUAAGGGGUAUUUUUGCCUUAAAAUUUUAUGAUUUUUGUGUUCCACGUGAUGGAACAACCCGUUCCCGGGGGAGAGGGGAGGUGGCACCAAAAUUUAACCCAUUUUCUUUCCGUGGGACAGCGCGUUCCACAUAAUUUAGGGCACCAAACAUGGGACGGAACACGUCCAUCCCACUCCGUUCUGUCCCAUCCAACGUACCAAACGCACCAUUUCCGUUUCAGCUUAGUUCCCUUUUUGUUUGCACAUUUGUGCAUUGAAAAGUCGAUUAUGCCCUUUGCUGGGUGCUAUCUUCCUUAUUUCAGUUCCUCAUAGUUUAAGCGGCUGUUUCUCAGCCCACGUGUCGGUUAUCGUGAGGUUUGGUCUUCCAUCUAUAUCCACCCUGCUUUGUGAAGCUGCUGGAAAUGUCUUCCAUUUUGAGCGUUUUCUUAAUUUUUUUCGUACUUUGUGUGUGGAUGUUUGAUCUAAUUUCAUUUUUUUGUUUCAAGAAACGUUGGCCUUCGAAUUUUAAGGGUUUAUUGUACAAGCUUGCAAGCCCUUUCUGGGUGAGGUAUAUAAUUUUUGUUUUUGUUCUUAAAUCUUUUUCCAAUAGAAUUUUAAUUGUUUUUUUGGUCCUGUUUUGUUUUUGGUGUGAUGAUUAAUUAUUGGGCGGUGAAGCAUCAACACGUACACAAAAUGGGUGUAGCGGAGAUGAGGAUGCUUCGUUGGAUGUGUGGGCACACGAGAAAGGAUAAGAUUAGGAAUGAGGAUAUCCGGGGUAAAGUAGGAGUAGCCGAAAUUGAAGGAAAGAUGAGAGAAAAUCGGUUACGAUGGUUUGGACAUGUGCAAAGAAGGCCUACUGACGCUCCGAUUAGAAGAUGCGACUAUGGGACAGAGGUUCAGGGCCGAAGGGGUAGAGGAAGACCUAGGAAAACUUUGGAAGAGACCCUAAGAAAAGACUUAGAGUACUUGGAUCUAACGGAGGACAUGACACAGGACAGAACACAAUGGCGUUCUAAGAUUCAUAUAGUCGAUCCCACUCAGUGACUUGGAUUUUCCAAGUCUCCAACCGAGAAGUUUUCCUCACUCGGGAAAUUAAGGGAACACUACCUCAACCUACAUGCUCCACUCAUAAAGCUUCAACAUACAAACUUCAACAAAAGAAAAUUCAAAGAACUUAGCGAAGAAGGCUUUGGUGUAUUUAACACAAUACGUUGAAAUGAAGGAAAACUUAUUUAUUGAUAUCCCUGAUAAGUUACAAAUAUGUACAUAUACAUGAGUCAAAAUAAACAAACAAGAGGGAGCCUUCACAAAUGUUGUUUAGGAGAAGUCUUAGCAGUCGGUAGAGCCCCAGAAAGAGAAGGCACCGGACGGGGAUCAUUCGGAGCCUCAGUACUGGACAGAACCCUAGAAGGAGGAGGCAUCAGAGGUUGAUCAUUUGGAGCUUCAUUACGCGGUACAACCCCAGAAGACGAAGGCAAUAAAUGCCUUUGGAACAAACCCACAAAUCUCUGAUGAUCAAGUAAAACCUGACCAUCAGAUUCCUUCAUCUGGUCAAGCUUCCUCUUCAUGUUUGUAGCAUAGUCAUGUGCGAGCCGGUGCAACUGUUUAUUCUCAUGCUUGAGCCCUCUAAUCUCCUGUUUGAGACUCAUCACUUCAGCCGCCAAUGAUUCAACUUGGCGGGUUCGAGCAAAUAGGCGUUGGACCAUAUUAGACACAGAACCUGCACACUGAACACUGAGAGCCAGAGAAUCCUUAACAGCCAACUCAUCAGACCGUUUGGAAAGUAGUCUGUUAUCUUUGGGAGUGAGAAGGUUCCUGGCCACUACCGCAGCGGUCAUAUCAUUCUUCAUCACGGAAUCCCCAACGGUAAGAGAACCAGUAGGGGAGACGAAUGAUGGGCGUCAUAUGUUGUCUGGAGAAGGCGGGGCUGUCUCUUCAACAAGGUUCAAGUCAAAACGACGGUCGGAGGGGCCAGACAUUUUCAAAGGUGUUGAAGAGAGAAGAGGUCGGACAAAUCAAGAUCUUAGAAGUGCAAGAAUGAAGCUUCUACUGGUGGAGAUUCAAGUGUGCUUUGGAACUUAAUGCCAGCCCCUAUAAAAAUCUGCACUCGACGAAGCUUCAGAAAUCGAAGAGGCGCCUGCUCAGAAAUCGAAGAGGCGUUUGCUUUCUCAAAAGCUGGGCUGCUCAGAGACCACGAGGGUCGAUCUCAGAAAUCGAAGAGGCGUUUGCUUUCUCAAAAGCUGGGCUGCUCAAAGACCACGAAGGCCGAUCUCAGAAAUCGAAGAGGCUUGCUUUCUCAAAAGCUGGGCUGCUCAGAGACCACGAGGGCCGAUUUCAGAAAUCGAAGAGGCACAUACUUUUCCAGCCUUGUCAGCACCUGCCACACGCACACUCAGCUUUGCGGAAAUUAUGGGCAUUCUGUCGAAGAUUUCUGGUGAAGUAGAAAACACAUGAAUCGUACUGUUCAAUCACCCACUUCCCACACGCAACAGUAGCUCAUGGGUACCACAUAUAACUUUGCCAAAGUUAUCUGACAAAGUUGAGACACGUGAAGCUUGCAGCUCUCACUACAUCGCUCUGACCAAGAAGGGUAAAAGAAUAGCAAAGAAACAACACUAACAAAGUUUAGACACAUAAAUUUUGAAGGUCUAGCUACCAUAUUAUUACCCAUAAGGGUAAAGGAACAGUACCACUGCUGGAUAAUUGGAAGGUCCCGGUGUGUCAACCUCUGUACUUCGUGGCAAGGUAGACUAGCAAACAUGCCCAACCUUUACUCACAUUCAAGAAAACACUCCCAACAAGAUUGCUUGCUCCAAAAUCGAAGAGGCACCGCUUUCCGAAUCUUGAGAGCCAGACUCCCAACAUGAUUACUUUCUAAAAAAUCGAAGAGAGGGUAAAGGAACAGUAACACUGCUGGAUAAUUGGAAAGUCCCUGUGUGUCAACCUAUGUGCUUCGUGGCAAGGUAGACUAGCAAACAUGCCCAACCUUUACUCACAUUCGAGAAAACACUCACAACAAGAUUGCUUGCUCCAAAAUCGAAGAGGCAUCGCCCUCCGAAUCUCGAGAGCCAGACUCCCAACAUGAUUACUUUCUCAAAAAUUGAAGAGAGGGUAAAGGAACAGUACCACUGCUGGAUAAUUGGAAAGUCCCUGUGUGUCAACCUCUGUGCUUCGUGGCAAUGUAGACUAGCAAACAUGCCAAACCUUUACUCACAUUCGAGAAAACACUCCCAACAAGAUUGCUUGCUCCAAAAUCGAAGAGGCACCGCCCUCCGAAUCUCGAGAGCCAGACUCCCAACAUGAUUACUUUCUCAAAAAUCGAAGAGACACCGCUCUCCGAAUCUCGAGAGCCAGACCCCCAACAGGAUUGCUUUCUCAAAAAUCGAAGAGGCAUCGUUCCCCGAAUCUCGAGAGCCAGAUCCCUGACAGGAUUGCUUGUUCGAAAACCGAAGAGGCACCACUUUCCCAACUUCAAGAGCUGGAUCUCCUUGGAUAAAGCUUGUCUGUAAUCUUCACACGCAACAUCAGCUUUCCAGAGACCACAGACCACUUUUUCAAAGUGCUCCGACAGAGUUAAAACAUGUGAAGCUGGCAGCUCCCACUACCGUGCUAUGACCAAGCAGGGUAAAGGAAUAGCAUUAUUACUUGAUGUUAGUGAGACUCCUAUAUAUGUCGACCUCCAUCCCCAACGGACAGGCAGACCUGCAAAAAUGCUCAACCAUUCCUCUUAUAUGAGAGGGCACUCCCAACGAAGCCUUUCGAAAUAUUCAACUUUCUUUCCCCUCGAUAAUACCUCUGCAAACAAGCUAUACUAGAGCAAGAAUAUCUCAUAUCAUCAGGGUUAAAAGCAAGAGUAUCCCAUAUCAUGCUUUUUCCCUGUCUUUUCCUUUGGCCUUGUUCUUACCUGCAAGACAAGGAGAAAGAGAGCAAUCAGUCAGCACUUGGAAUCAAGCUUCCAACCAGGAAUUGAUUGCCUAGAACCCCUUACCUGAGUACUUACCUGGCAUUGCUCUCGAGUACUCAUCUUCAACAUCUUAUGCUUCCAGGGAAGAUACCGCAUCUGCCUAAGGAACAGAUAGGUCAAGUGAGAAGGAUACAAAGAAGCAUGUGGAGACAAGCGUAACAGCACACGUGCCGAUACAUCCACUACUCUGUCAAAAGCAAAAGUAUCCCAUAUCAGCAGGGUCGAACGUACUCUAGAUUUGAUGGACUUGUUUUGACCCUCAAAUUCUUCAGUCGGCCUUAUACUCUGGAGGAAACCAGAAAACCCUCAAGCCCAGUUCAAGAAUAAGCCUGUGGAAAGUUACUUCUUCAAAAGCAAAAGUAUCCCAUAUCAUCUCUUCUCAUUUUUCUUCUCUUUAUCCUUCCUGCUGCCUGCAAGAUAGGGAGAAUGUGAACAAUCAGCCGGAGCUCUGAUUUCUUACCUUGUCUGUCACAUCUUUUAGCAGAUCCCCUAGCCCGGCGACUUGGGGGACUCCUACUACAUGGUUUGUAUCGUGCUUGACCAAGCCUGAAACUACAAGUAAGCUUCAAGUGAAAUUGAUACAUUACCUUGUGCAUCUCCACCAGUUAAAGAUACCACCCCUGGAUGGAGGAAGAGUACUUCCAGAGAAGAUGUCACAUCUACCUAUGAGACAGAUAAGGCAAGUCAAGACGAUACCACACUCCGGUACUUAGAAGUUUUGUGAUUACGAGAUCAUUUUCCCACAAUAUUUCCUAAUGUCAUUUGUACUAAAUCAUUCACUUGUACUCACUAAAGGAGAGCUUGAACCUAUGUACUUGUGUAAACCCUUCACAAUUAAUGAGAACUCCUCUAUUCCGUGGACGUAGCCAAUCUGGGUGAACCACGUACAUCUUGUGUUUGCUUUCCUAUCUCUAUCCAUUUAUAUACUUAUCCACACUAAUGACCGGAGCAAUCUAGCGAAGAUCACAAAAAGCGACCGUUUUCGCUACCUAGGAUCUAUCUUGCAAGAGAAUGGAGAAUUAGAUGGAGAUCUCAACCAUAGAUUACAAGCUGGAUGGAUGAAGUGUAAGAGUGCAUCCGGCAUGUUGUGUGACCGUCGUAGGCCACUGAAGCUCAAGGGAAAAUUUUAUAGGACGACAAUAAGGGCAGCGAUGUUGUAUGGCACCGAAUGUUGGGCGGUGAAGCAUCAACACAUACACAAAAUGGGUGUAGCGGAGAUGAGGAUGCUUCGUGGGAUGUGUGGGCACACGAGAAAGGAUAAGAUUGGGAAUGAGGAUAUCCGAGGUAAAGUAGGAGUAGUCGAAAUUGAAGGAAAUAUGAGAGAAAAUCGGUUCCGGUGGUUUGGACAUGUGCAAAGAAGGCCUACUGACGCUCCGGUUCGAAAAUGUGACUACGGGACAGAGGUUCAGGGCCGAAGGGGUAGAGGAAGACCUAGGAAAACUUUGGAAGAGACCCUAAGAAAAGACUUGAGUACUUGGAUCUAACGGAGGACAUGACACAAAACCGAGCGCAAUGACGUUCUAGGAUUCAUAUAGCCGACCCCACUUAGUGGGAAAAGGCUUUGUUGUUGUUGUUGUUGUUGUUGUUGUGUUUAGUUUGCGGAUCUAUUUUCUAUAAAAAAAAUUGGUGAUAAUUGAUUUUGAGGUUGUGUUGUAUAUGGAUUUUUAGUGUGGGUAUAUGAUUUGGUUUUUUUAUUUUGAGGAAGCAGUGGCCAUCGUUUUUUACCGCUUAUAUAUAUAUUAUUCCAGAAGCUUGAGGUAUAAAAUCUUGAAAUUGCUCACCUUAAAUAGACAGCGGCGUGCAUAUGUAGUUUAUCAUCGAAUAAUCAACCUCUCAUCACUAAAUUAACGUUUAAGUUUGUUUUUAAUUUAGUUCACAAAUGAAUCAACCAAGUUUUCAUGCCAUAUUGAUACGAAAUUAUAAAGAAAUGUCGAUCAUAUUUUGUUUGUUUGUUUUCCUUCUUUUGAGAUCUAUUAUUCAUAUAUAUCAUAGAUGAUGAAGAAUAAAAGAAAUUAAAUGCCGCUUUGGAUGAUAAGUUGAUGUUGAUGACAAGUACUAUUGAUGAUACCCACUAUUUCUCAUCUGUUCUAAUGCUGCAGGUAUGUAUAUUAUGUAACAAGUUCUCUAUCAGUUUGUUAAUAUCCAUAACCAAUACAGGUUUUCAAACACUUACACAGGUUUGUAUUUCAGUGAAAAAAUUGUAGGAAAAACAAAAGGAGGUUGAGCCUAUCUACAUAGUGAGUCGAAAGAAAAAUUAAACUCAACAACUAGAGAAUGAGAAUGGUUUGAUGAAAAAUAGGAAAUGAACACAUAUAAGGUAAUGUCACAAGGUGAGAUUUCAGUAUGAAUUUUUCAUUGUCAUACUAAUUAAUGCUUUUAAACCAAUCGGUAUAGAUUCUAUUUUUAGUUUCUUUUGCUUGAUCAAUUUACAUUCCUUUUUUAACCAAAUGCAAGUUCCAAUAUUGCAUUGAUGACAAAUAAAUUAAUUGAGAUUGAAGCUUUCUCUGAUUGAGAAAUCUCUUUUUGUUUAAAUAGUGUUACAAUUUUGUCUUUAUUUUUUUUCCCAAGAGGUGGACUUAAAAAGGAUAAAGUAUGCAAGGGAAUGGUAGGAUCAACAUAUCAAAGGUAGACAUCGAUUUUUUCUCUCAUGUUAAACUUAUAUUGUGAUGUUUAUUAUUAUUAAAUUUUGAAAAAAAAAAAUUGCUUAUCAUAACCUUAUCACAAUACUAAAUAACAGGGAGAGAGAUGAAAAAUAGAGGUAACUAUUUGAUUGUAUGCUUACUUUGGAGAUUUUGUGUAAGAUCCCACAUACUUAUAUGUAUAUUCCCAUCUCUACCUAGCACGAGGCUUUUUGGGAGCUCACUGGCUUCGGGUUCCAUCGGAACUCCGAAGUUAAGCGAGAAGGGGGCUAGAGCACUCCCAUGAUGGGUGACCCACUGGGAAGUUGUUCGUGAGUUCCCAGAAACAAAACCGUGAGGGCCUGGUUCCCGGCCAGGGCCCCACCACAACCUGGGCCCGCUCUACCACCGUAGCACGAUAUUGUCCGUUUUGGGCCCCAACCAUGCCUUCACGGUUUUGUUUCUGGAAACUCACGAUCAACUUCCCAAUGGAUCACCCAUCAUGGGAGUGCUCUAGCCCCUUUCUCGCUUAACUUCAGAGUUCCUAUGGAAUCUGAAGCCAGUGAGCUCCUAAAAGGCCUUAUGCUAGAUAGGAAUGAGAAUAUACAUUUAAGGAUCACUCACCUGGGCGAUGUGGGAUGUCACAAUCCACCCCCUUUAGGGACCCGAUGUCCUCGUCGGCACACUUCCGGCCAGGGAUAGGCUCUGCUACCAAUUGUCACAUCCCGGCUCGGGCCCCCACCACAACCUGGGCCCGCUCCACCAUCGUAGCACGAUAUUGUCCGCUUUGGGCCCCAACCACACCUUCACGGUUUUGUUUCUGGGAACUCACGAGCAACUUCCCAGUGGGUCACCCAUCAUGUGAGUGCUCUAGCCCCCUUCUCGCUUAACUUCGAAGUUUCUACAGAACCCGAAGCCAGUGAGCUCCCAAAAGGCCUCGUGCUAGGUAGGGAUGAGAAUAUACAUUUAAGGAUCACUCAUCUGGACGAUGUGGGAUGUCACACAAUUGACUAAGAAUUUGUUAAAUCAUUUUAACAUGUAUUAUAAUAAGAUAUUUACUUUUUAUGAUACAUUUCUAAUUUUUGCAAAUUACUUGAUUUACUAUUGUUAUAUGGUUUACAGAUUUUUAUGUUAAGUGUGUCACUAUAUUGUUGUAAUAGUUAAAUUGGAUGUAAUAUGAAGUGUUGAGAUAAAACUAGGCACAACUAAUUAUCUUUCACUUCUUGAGAUACAGUCAUUGUUUGAUUUAGCCUAUAACUGAUAAAUCUUUAAUUAUAAUUGGUUUUUUUAGUUUACCUGGAUCAGAACUGAUAACCGUAUAAAAGGGCAGUAAAAAUUAAAGUCUGCCUGUUCUGAUGACAACUGAUAAAUAUACAGUUCUGCACUGUAUACUGGUUGAUGAAAAGGUGAGCAAUCAUUACUUAAUGAUCUUAAGUAAUAACUACUUAGUAUUGCUCAUUGAAAAUUUAUUAAUUGUUUCAAUGCAUAUGAUCUAACAUUUCUGCUUUCUGUAAUAAACACUAUUUAUGAUCUUUAUUUUUUUGGUCAAAAACACUAUUUGGGAUCUGUUUGUCAUCUUUAGACAUUGCUUGAUUUUGUAUUGUCAAAUGAUAUAUAUUUUCAUAAUCACUGUGUCUGUAUAGUAUAUGGAUUAUAUAUAUAUAUAUAUAUAUAUAUAUAUAUAUAUAUAUAUAAUAUUAAGUGUUCUAUUCUUUGUAUUAGAUCUUUUUAUACUUAAACAACUUUUUUUAAGUGUUAAUUAAAAUGAUUAAUUGAUAGUUACUGUUUGCCUAUGCAUAUUCUUGCGUAGUAUUUACUAUGCACAUGCAUAUUCAUGUUAUACUAUAUGUAAUGGUCACUGUUAUUCACUUAUUCACUUGAUAUUUAACAAUAUUUUUUUCUUGCAUUUUUUCCCAUGCUGAAUUGUCAAGCGACAAUCAAUAUAAACUUAUAUGAAUUUUGUUUCUUCAUUGUUAAUUUACUGAUGCUAGGGAUAAUUUAAGCUUCUACAUUCUUAACAUUUUUCAUAUUUGACUUGCAGGAUUAGUGUCAAUGUACACAUUUUUGCAACUAUUUGUUCUGUCUUUCUCCCUCACUCUGUAUAAUUUUAGUCAAAUUGAACUACUCUUUAAAACUUGAGAUUUAACUAAAGUACUUAGAACUUAGUUAAAUGAAAGUUUACUUCGGUUUGAUGACAUUUACAUGAUUAUUAGGUUCACAAUCAUUGGAUGCAUUAUCUUUUAUAUGUUUUAAUCAUAAUGUCAUAAAAUUUUCGAUCCCGCAACAACGCGCAGGUCACACUUCCCGCAGCAACGCACGGGUUAUGCUUUCCAGUAGUAACUAAAGUCUGCUUAGUAGGCCUCCAAGAAAUUGUGGUUUCACCAACAAUACCCGUUUAGGAUAUUGCCAUGCGGGGAUCAAAUAAGUACCCAGCAUCAACAUAACCAACAAAGGAAACUCGAGAACUGGGUGGAGGGGGUGAGGAAGGGACGG
rnacentral:lncRNA from 1 species